UAUGUCGCCCAGCCAUUAUGGUGACUAUGACCCUCGGCUUGUAACCGAGUGGGUUCGGGUUCGAAUCCCGACUGAAAAA